rnacentral:rRNA from 1 species
AACGAACGCUGGCGGCAGGCCUAGCACAUGCAAGUCGAGCGCGCCCUUCGGGGUGAGCGGCGGACGGGUGAGUAACGCGUGGGAACGUGCCCUUUUCUACGGAAUAGCCUCGGGAAACUGAGAGUAAUACCGUAUACGCCCUUUGGGGGAAAGAUUUAUCGGAAAAGGAUCGGCCCGCGUUGGAUUAGGUAGUUGGUGGGGUAAUGGCCUACCAAGCCGACGAUCCAUAGCUGGUUUGAGAGGAUGAUCAGCCACACUGGGACUGAGACACGGCCCAGACUCCUACGGGAGCAGCAGUGGGGAAUCUUAGACAAUGGGGGCAACCCUGAUCUAGCCAUGCCGCGUGAGUGAUGAAGGCCUUAGGGUUGUAAAGCUCUUUCAGCUGGGAAGAUAAUGACGGUACCAGCAGAAGAAGCCCCGGCUAACUCCGUG